rnacentral:lncRNA from 1 species
AACCAGGGACCCCCAGCCAGGGAUGAGGAGAAAUGGUAUAACGGAGAACCAGGGGCCACCAGCCAGGGAUGACAGGAAAUGGUAUGACUGAGGACCAGGAACCACUAAUCAGGGAUGACGGGAAUUGGUACAAUGACUGAGGACCAGGGACCACCAACCAGGGAUGAGGGAAAAUGGUACGACUGAGGACCAGGGACCACCAACCAGGGAUGAGGGGAAAUGGUACAACAGAGAACCAGGGACCACCAGGCAGAGAUGUUAGGAAAUGGUACGACCGAGGACCAGGGACCACCAACCAGGGAUGAGGGGAAAUGGUACAACUGAGAACCAGGGACCACCAGGCAGAGAUGACAGGUAAUGGUACGACUGAGGACCAGGGACCACCAACCAGGGAUGAUGGAAAAUGGUACAGCAGAGAACCAGGGACCACCAGCCAGGGAUGACAGGAAAUGCUACGACUGAGGACCAGGGACCACCAGCCAGGGAUGACGGGAAAUGGUACACUGACUGAGGACCAGGGACCAGUAAUCAGGGAUGAUUGGGAAAUGGUACGACUGAGGACCAGGGAUCACCAACCAGGGAUGAGGGGAAAUGGUACAACGGAGAACCAGGGACCACCAGCCAGAGAUGACAGGAAAUAGUAUGACUGAGGACCAGGGACCACCAACCAGGGAUGAUGGGAAACAUUAUGUUGACUGAAGAUCAGUGCCAAUCGCCACCAACCAGAAUGACGGGGAAAGUGGUAUAAUGACUGAGAACCAGGGAUGAUGGGAAAUGGUACAGCGGAGAACCAGGGACCACCAGCCAGGGAUGACAGGAAAAUGGUAUAAUAACCGAGAACCAGGGACCACCAAUCGGGAAUGAUGGGAAAUUAUAUAAUGAUUCAAGACUAGCUGUCACGUCACCAACCAGGAAGUAGGAGAAAUGGUACAACUGAGGAUCAGGGACAACCAAUCGGGGAUGAAGAGAAAUGGUACAACAGAAAACCAGGGACCACCAAUCAGGGUUGAUGAGAAAUGAUACAACGGAGGACCAGGGACCACCAGCCCAGGAUGAUGGGAAGUAGUUCAACAAAAGAGGACCAGUUACAUCCAACCAUUGAUGAAGAGAAAUGGUAAGAAGACUGAAUACCAUUUAUUACCAAACAGGAAUGAGGAGAAAUAGUACAACUGAGGAUCAUGGAUGAAGGGUAAUUGUAGAAUUACUAAGGAUCAGGUACCAACAACCAGGGAUGAUGGUUAAUUGCACACAACUGAGGACCAGGGAUCACUAACCAGGGAUGACAAGAAAUGGUUCAACGACUGAGGACCAGGAACCACCAAUCGGGGAUGAUGAGUAAUGGUACAAGGGAGGACCAGUGACCACACAACUGAGGACCAGGGAUCACUAACCAGGGAUGAUGGGGAAAAAGCAUGUUGACUGGUGUCGGGUAAAAAAUGGCUGACUUAAAAGCCCGUUAUUUUUUACUCUCAUUACCGUUACCGUCAUGUUGUACAUCAAAGGACCAAACUUGUCUCGUCUCAUUCACAAGGUUCUGCACAUUGAGCGUUCAAAUUUGCUAUGACAUUUUCCAGGGGUAUAGAGAGCGAAAGUGAGCAUAACCCCUGGAUAUCGAGGAUGAGUGACCACCAGCUACAGAUGUCGGGAAAUUUUAUAGUGACUGAAGACCAGGGAUGCGGAGAAAUGGUACAACUGGACUACGGACCAUCGAUCGGGAAUGAAGAGAAAUGUUACUAUGAGGACCAGAAACAACUAGGGAUGAAGUGCUGCAACAACUGAGGACCAGGGACCACCAAGCAAGGAUGAUGGGAAAUGGUACUAUGAUGGACAACCAGUGAACAUCUUUAGCAUCAAAUAGAUCGGGAGAAAUGGUACCACUAAGGACCAGGGACCAUCAACUGGAAGAAUGGGAAAUAGGACAAUCCACUAAGGAGGACAGGAAAUGAUUUUUUGCUGAGAUUAUAUAGAAGUGAACCUGGUCAAAGAUUCAACUGGAGAAUUGAGAGACCAUCAUCAUCAAAGCUUUUUCUCCAAAUACUUUGGAAGACCUUCAGGAUGUUUGCAUCAAAACUAAAACAGCAAAUUUUUAAAAUCAAUAAAAGUGGACAUUUCAAUCAUUCAACUGCAAUAAUAACAAACGGGACAUAAUACUAGAUGAUUUUUUGAGCUGUGUUCUUGUGAAGUGCUUUGACCCUGCAAUACUCCAAUACUUUGAGGGAUGAGCGACUACAUGGUCCGACAGAACUUGUAGAUGGCCUUUAAGUUGAGUGUGGCCCAGAUGUACAAAUGUAUACGAUGAAAUAUAAGAUGUACAAAUAUAUUGGCAAUACGAUAAAAUAUAUUCUCGUUGCUGUUGCAUAUUGGAAAAAAAUAAUGGAACGAGCUGAUGUUAUUUCAAAUGACUCGAGAAUAAACAUAUUGGUUUUAAAC